rnacentral:rRNA from 1 species
GACGUAGGAGGCGAGCGUUGUCCGGAUUCAUUGGGCGUAAAGAGCACGCAGGCGGUUUGGCAAGUCGGAUGUGAAAACCAGAAGCCCAACUUCUGGCCUGCAUCCGAUACUGCCCGACUAGAGGUAGGUAGGGGAGAUCGGAAUUCCUGGUGUAGCGGUGAAAUGCGCAGAUAUCAGGAGGAACACCGGUGGCGAAGGCGGAUCUCUGGGCAAUAACUAACGCUGAGGAGCGAAAGCGUGGGGAGCGAACAGG